rnacentral:miRNA from 1 species
UAGUUAGAGUGCCUGUCAAGUGUGG